rnacentral:tRNA from 1 species
GCGUCGAUAGUUCAAUGGCAGAAUAUCGGCCUUCCAAGCCGAGGAUCAGGGUUCGAAUCCCUGUCGACGCA